GGUGGCCUAGUGGUUAGAGCGUCCGCCUCAGACGCGGAAGGUCAUGGAUUCGAUCCCUCAAAAACA